AGCCCGCCCCGGGCAGCGGGGCCGCGGCAGGCGGGCAGCAUGGCUGGCGGGAGAGAAGGAAAAGCGGCCGUGAGCGGCCACCAUAAAGGUGCCUGACGGCGGCGCAGCUGUGGGCGGCCGCCGGGCAUCAACCGCCCCCACCCGCCUCCUCGCGGCGGAAGGAGUCGAGAGGGCCGCGUGGCCCGUACCGGGCAGGAGCGUCCGGGGCUCCCGGGGUCGCGACAGGACGAAGAGCAGCCGUCCCUGCAAGCAACACUGACACCAAUGACAGGACUUAAGCGGCCAAGGGAACCGUGCUCCAUACACGCAGCUGGAAAGCAUCCUCCUGUGUAGGGCCAGCGCAGCCCCGCUGCCAGAGAACGGAUCCGUCCUGCUGCAGCUCCACCAGCAAAGUUACAGAAAGACUGUGAAAUAACGUUGUGAAACGUCACAUCGCUUCCCUGCAUCCCCACCAAGUUGUUUAAUUGUCCUCUUGGCCACAUGCCUAAGCCAGGACAGACGGCAGAGAUUCAUAGUGAGCUAAUAGCAAUCAAACAGCUGAAGUGCUGUUUCUUUUCUGUGCUCCUAAAAAGAGACAGUGUCUUUAACUUGGCACAGCUAUCCAUCCCUUUGAUCCCUUUGCCCUGUGUGAGCACUCCUGCCCAUCAAUUACUUUGUAGAAAUGCUCCAGGCACACACAAGAUGAGAAGAGAGACGUGAAGUCAUGCAGUACUUGCCCUACUUGGUUUAGAAACAACAAAUGAGGAAGUAUCCACAGCUUCAGCUAUCAUAGUUCUCAUUUUGACCAGUAAGCGCUCUCUGAAGAUGUUUCCUCCAGGCUCCAUAAAUCCAGUCUCCAUAGCAAGAAGAAGUUGAUGGUCAAGCAGCUGAGGAAACUGGAAAACACAAACACUUCUCUGUAGAUAAUUUCAUCAGUAGCCAGUAACUGAAAAAGACCUUUUUAAUCCUUCAGAUUGAAAGCUUUAGUAACGGAAUACUUAGCUAUAAGUGAUCUCUGCAAAUUGAGCUGAGAAGUGCCAGUAUGAAGCAAUGAAUGGUAGACCACUGAAAUUCUUUCUGAGCCAGUUAUAUGAGCCUGGCUACUUGCUUGGUCCUCUCUGGGUCUUCAAAUAUUCAGUACUUGUCCAAAUGUUGCAGAAAAUUUGAAGAGUAAAAAAAAAAGAAUCACCACAAGUCAUUUUAACAGAGAAUAUUCCAGCUAGAACAGUGACCACUAGCUGACAACAGUGCAUUUUCCCCAUGCAUUUUGCAACAGAAGUGUCCAGAAUACUUUGCAGGUACAGUUGGAAUAGUUGCUAUUUCAUUGCUUAUAAAAAUAAGUUUCAUUGUAUUCAUGUUCUUUUGGUAAGUCUGUAUUUCACUUUCUCUUAUGAAUACACUCUCUUUAAACAGAAGACAAAGGUUGUGAUUGCAUAGUGAAAAGUUUAUUUAAAGGGAAUAACUUUCAAUAUAUUACAAAUCAGCCACAACACAUCGAAUAUAAACAAUACAAACCAAGCCUGGAAGGAAAGCAAACACCCUAUAAAUAUUCACAUGUGCCCUUCAGCAAGAGAUUCAGUGCCACAUCUUGUUGAAGUAACCUCCCUUUAAAACUAAUUUCUUCAGAGGAGAUGAAAAGCAACAGGUUGGUACAGACAAAUGAAUUUUGAGGUUCCAGGACAACAAAGUGUAUUCACAUCACAUAAAUAAGAACUUAGAGACAGCUGUCACAAUUUACAAUAUAUGUCUGGGAAAAAAAAAGGAUGACCACCUACAAGACACUCUCCACUGAAAGACUACGUUAGCAGCUUGGAGAAGGGACUUGAGAGCAGAUUGCUUCACUCUGAGGAGAGCAGUGAGUCACUCAGGCACUCAAGAAGUUACAGGAAGAUCAUCUCCAACUAUUCAGUUUCCAAGAACAGCUUCUAGACUUAAAAGUCAGGCAAAGCCUCUUUAGCUCUGAGCUCAAUGGUUGGCAUCCAGCUUCAUGCCUAAGAGACUUCACUCACCAGUCCAGAUGGGCUUAAACCAGAUAGCCCUUACUGACAAACCACAGAUGCAUCCAUUCAGCCUGAUGUUCUGUCUUCAGCUGUAACAGCACGAGUGUUUUUGGAAUAAAAUGCCAGAGACUGUUUGGAGGCAAAUGCAGGAUAGUUGUACAGGAAAUUCUCUGCCUAGCAAGAUGAGUUUGGACUCUGCCGUUUGAUGUUCACUCUAAAACUUUAGCUUACCAUCAGAAUAUCAGAAGUAAUCAUCCUUUGGUGUUCCAGAAUAUUUUGCAGCAGCUUAUGAUUUCUUUCUAAAGGCAAAGAUCCCAUGGUGCCGGAAAACUCUAACAAUUCUACUACUCAUCUUACAGCAACAAGGAAGACUAAUGAACAGCUUAAAUCCCCAGGACAGCCAACCAGGACUCUCUCCUUGCUCGAUCUUAGUGCCUCCUCUCUACUCAAAUAGGCAGAGAAACAAGGAGAAGAAAACCCUUGGAUUAAUGCCAUCUGUGGCUCUUACUUCAGACAUGCUCCUACCUCCUAAGGCACUUUGUGAUAAAUCCUCUGCAAAGUGUACUAGGGGGUAGUAAGACAAAAAGGAAGGGUAUAAGCAGUGGAGACAAAGUGAACCCAUUCUCUACCCCCAGUUUCCAGCACACAAGAACAAGUACCUCUUUCAGCAACUAGACAUGUGACAAUGGUCACCUCCAGUCUACCCCACCACAUCCAGCAGCACAACUGGCUCCACUGCAGGCCAUACAUGGCUAUAUGCACACAGUUACAAGGAGACAGCCCACAGGAUAGGACCAAAAAGAAAAGAAUGUGGCAACCUUUCAGGCUGUUGCAUAGUAACUCAACUUUCAUCUUAGUACCUCAAGUCAGUCAGUUAAGCUCUUUCUCUCCUUAAGCACACACUUUCAUCUUACUGUUCGUGUAAGUGGCUCAGUGGUAGUAUUAAUGUACAUAACUAUUAAAUGAGUUCCAAAUAUUACUUUGGGAAUAGCCUAUAUCUGACACCAAUAACCUUUUAACAUGGGCCUCCAGAGUUGGUUAGCAAAUUAAAUCAGUACAAGCAGUGCCUGACUUAAGCAAUUUUAACUCUCAGCCCUCAGUGAAAUGCAUACACUUUCAACUCCUGCUGCUACACUACUGCUAGGGGAGAAGAGCAAGAUAAAACAACAGAUAGCUUAUUACCUGAUUUGACAUUAAAAAAUACCCAACAUAUUGUUACCAUUGUUAUAAACAGACAAUUAUACAACCUAAUUUUUAUGCAAAUCCUACGCCACAGGAUUGUUUUAUGUCUCUGUCUGAACAUGAAAAUGUUGUUGUUAGAUCUAAGUCAUAUUCACGUCAAACUGGAAAACAAUUCUGUGCUUUUACAAAAGCAAACAAACGACGACAAAAAGAUUCUGCAAAAUGUAGAGCAGCUUAUUCCUUAGCGGAGCUUUCUCAAUUUUUAGAUACAGUCUACUGGAGGAAGAAACAUUUUUAAGUCUUUCUUCUGGAGAAGAAAUUUCCCUUUCUCAAGGAUUAAUUUCCUUCUCUGAAGUGAAAAUGCCUUUUAAGAUCACUUUUUCUUUCUAAACCCAAUAUCUAGUCCCACUAGUUUAUAAUUAGAACAAGAAGGGCUUCCACCACUGCCUCGGCAGACAGCGGGAUCGGAUACAAGUCCAGAAUACACAGAUAGCAGAAAAAAGGACACAAGAAACAAGAUUACUUCUUUGAACAUACUACGAGUUCAACUUCGAAUGCAAAUGGCCAGUGUUAAUCAGUAGCCACGCAUCCAAGCUAGGGAAUUCAUCAGAAAAUGAAUAAAGACUACAGAUCCUUCCUAAAAAGAAGUUGUCACUUCGAUAACGAAUGAUACUUUAACACCUGGGAAACAUUUAUGUGAUGUGGAAGUUAAAGAAUAAACAAAGGGUAAUUAUCCUGUGCAACUGUAAAGCUUCUGUUUCCUGCAGAUGAACUAUUCUAUGCCAAAAACUGUUUUGUGUUCGUAAGAGAUACCACAUGCUUCCAGGAAGAGUAAGCAGUGAAAUAAUACACACUAGAUACUUUCAGUUCCACCACAGCAAGUCUGUUUAUGGGCAUCGUGUUUUUGCAGGACAGGCACAUACAGAUUGGGAUACCAUGCCAGAUUCGAUGCUUCUGUUAAGCUUAAGUCAGUGAGAUUAGGAGAUGGGACAGUUCCAAACAGAUGACCUGAGCCCCAUUAAAAGGUUGGUCCACAUUUCAGAAAGCUAGAACUGAGCAAUGGGAUCACCAUCUACAAGGCAGCUUAUCUUCACUAAAACCACUAACAAGUUAUCGUGCUAACUUGCACAUACUACUUGUUUCAGUAAGUGACCAGAACUGGUAGUCAGGCAGGCCUUACUCACAUCUUACAACAUUAAAAAAAUGUGUUUUGAAUGAGGAUAUGAUCAAAAUACAGUGAGAGGUGAAGUGGCUGUGAAUUAGCAAUAGGGAGGCCACAUUAUAGGAGAAACAUUUACUUAGUGGCAAUAACAGUAUUCCACAGUACGCUGUGAAACUGAGGAUCAGCAACUGUAGCAAGUAUAUCCUAUGCAUAGGUCAAAAUUCCCUUUAUCAUAAAUAAAUCCUGGUUAGAAAGCGGAUGAGGUGCCACACAGUGUCUCAUACAUUAACUAUCAAGUACACACAGGCCCUGCAGAUUAUAGCAGAAAGGACCAAAGGCAGACAUUGCAUUGGGCAGCACUGACAUGUUUGGUCAAUGAAAAGUCGCCCUCUUCUUAGUGAGAAAGAACUUCAUGGGCAAAGGGUUAAAAAAAAAAAGAGGGGGGGGGGGGGGGGGGG